GUGAUUGCUUCAGCAACACAUGUACUAAAAUCGGAAUGAUAUAGAGAAAAUUAGCAUAGCCCUGUGCACAGAAGACACGCAAAUUUGUGAAGCAUUCCAUAUUUAA